GAGGACUCCCACCCCAUAAAAUGACAGACAGUAAGAUCACUGGGACCUUGGCUUUUGCUGUCUUCACUGCGGUGCUGAGUUCCUUCAAGUGUGGAUAUGACCUUUAUGUGAUCAACGCACCUCAAGAGGCAAGUGAAACACCUAAGUUCUUUUCGGCAACUGCAAUCAGUGACUGAAAAAUUUCACCUGUUCUUUGGAC
rnacentral:lncRNA from 1 species